CAGUAGCCGCGGUAAAACGUAGGGUGCGAGCGUUAAUCGGAAUUACUGGGCGUAAAGCGUGCGCAGGCGGUUCGUUAAGACAGAUGUGAAAUCCCCGGGCUUAACCUGGGAACUGCAUUUGUGACUGGCGAGCUAGAGUAUGGCAGAGGGGGGUAGAAUUCCACGUGUAGCAGUGAAAUGCGUAGAGAUGUGGAGGAAUACCGAUGGCGAAGGCAGCCCCCUGGGCUAAUACUGACGCUCAUGCACGAAAGCGUGGGGAGCAAACAGGAUUAGAUACCCCGGUAGUCCCUGUCUCUUAUAC
rnacentral:rRNA from 1 species